rnacentral:rRNA from 1 species
CACGUAGGGGGCAAGCGUUGUCCGGAUUUAUUGGGCGUAAAGAGCUCGUAGGCGGCUCGGUAAGUCGGGUGUGAAAACUCAGGGCUCAACCCUGAGACGCCACUCGAUACUGCUGUGGCUUGAGUCCGGUAGGGGAGCGUGGAAUUCCUGGUGUAGCGGUGAAAUGCGCAGAUAUCAGGAGGAACACCGGUGGCGAAGGCGGCGCUCUGGGCCGGUACUGACGCUGAGGAGCGAAAGCGUGGGGAGCGAACAGG